AGGAGAGUUGCUAAUGUUGGUCUUGGAGUCGGUCUUAUAAACCGAUAAAUCAGAAAGAAAGCACUGUCUAGAUAAGGCAGAGUCAUAUGACUGAACGUGGGUUCGAUUCCCACCUCUCCUA
rnacentral:tRNA from 1 species